UACGUAGGGGGCAAGCGUUGUCCGGAAUCAUUGGGCGUAAAGCGCGCGUAGGCGGCCCUGUAAGUCCGUUGUGAAAGUCAAAGGCUCAACCUUUGAAAGCCGAUGGAUACUGCAGGGCUAGAGUCCGGAAGAGGCGAGUGGAAUUCCUGGUGUAGCGGUGGAAUGCGCAGAUAUCGGGAGGAACACCAAUGGCGAAGGCAGCUCGCUGGGACGUGACUGACGCUGAGACGCGAAAGCGUGGGGAGCAAACAGG
rnacentral:rRNA from 1 species